GAUGAACGCUGGCGGCGUGCCUAAUACAUGCAAGUCGAGCGAACAGACGAGGAGCUUGCUCCUCUGACGUUAGCGGCGGACGGGUGAGUAACACGUGGAUAACCUACCUAUAAGACUGGGAUAACUUCGGGAAACCGGAGCUAAUACCGGAUAAUAUAUUGAACCGCAUGGUUCAAUAGUGAAAGACGGUUUUGCUGUCACUUAUAGAUGGAUCCGCGCCGCAUUAGCUAGUUGGUAAGGUAACGGCUUACAAAGGCAACGAUGCGUAGCCGACCUGAGAGGGUGAUCGGCCACACUGGAACUGAGACACGGUCCAGACUCCUACGGGAGGCAGCAGUAGGGAAUCUUCCGCAAAGGGCGAAAGCCUGACGGAGCAACGCCGCGUGAGUGAUGAAGGUCUUCGGAUCGUAAAACUCUGUUAUUAGGGAAGAACAAAUGUGUAAGUAACUAUGCACGUCUUGACGGUACCUAAUCAGAAAGCCACGGCUAACUACGUG
rnacentral:rRNA from 1 species